AUUGAACGCUGGCGGCAGGCCUAACACAUGCAAGUCGAGCGAGCGGCGGACGGGUGCGUAAUGUAUGGGGACUGCCGAUAGAGGGGGGUAACUACUGGAAACGGUGGCUAAUACCGCAUACUAUCGGAUAACCCAUAUGGGAUUAGCUAUUAGGUGGGGUAAAGGCUCACCUAGACGACGAUCUCUAGCUGGUCUGAGAGGAUGAUCAGCCACCCUGGGACUGAACCACGGCCCAGACUCCUACGGAGGCAGCAGUGGGGAAUAUGGCACAGUGGGCGCAAGCCUGAUGCAGCCAUGCCGCGUGUAGGAAGAAGGCCUUAGGGUUGUAAAGUUCUUUCUGUAGCGAGGCGUUAACUACAGAAGAAGCACCGGCUAACUCCGUGCCAGCAGCCGCGGUAAUAC
rnacentral:rRNA from 1 species